CUUGCUCCACCGGGAAAAGAGGAGUGGCGAACGGGUGAGUAACACGUGGGUAACCUGCCCAUCAGAAGGGGAUAACACUUGGAAACAGGUGCUAAUACCGUAUAACAAUCGAAACCGCAUGGUUUCGUUUUGAAAGGCGCUUUACGGUGCCGCUGAUGGAUGGACCCGCGGUGCAUUAGCUAGUUGGUGAGGUAACGGCUCACCAAGGCCACGAUGCAUAGCCGACCUGAGAGGGUGAUCGGCCACAUUGGGACUGAGACACGGCCCAAACUCCUACGGGAGGCAGCAGUAGGGAAUCUUCGGCAAUGGACGAAAGUCUGACCGAGCAACGCCGCGUGAGUGAAGAAGGUUUUCGGAUCGUAAAACUCUGUUGUUAGAGAAGAACAAGGGUGAGAGUAACUGUUCACCCCUUGACGGUAUCUAACCAGAAAGCCACGGCUAACUACGUG
rnacentral:rRNA from 1 species